rnacentral:lncRNA from 1 species
UGCAUCCAUUUAUCUGUUUUGUAGCAGAAGCUUGUGUUUACCAAAUGUUGUUGAUGCUUUUAUCUGUUCUUUCUGUUUCAGGGCAGCGUUGAUGAUUGGGCUUAGACCCAGUGGAGAGAGAUUAAUGUGGAACAGAUGGAUGUGCAGCUCAGAAGGUUUGCCAAGGCAGGUUCCACAGCCGUCUAUUUCUGCAAUUUAUCUGUCUCAGUGCCACCCCUUCCUCACUCUUCCCACCCACUUGGAUGUUUUGGUGGGUUUAUUACUCAUGUCCAAGCUGAAUGUUCUGGAACAUGCUUUGUUUUGGGAUCUUUCCUUCAAAACUUCAUUUUUCUGAUAGUCCUGCAGAAGAAAAUUCCAAUGGGACAAGAGAAGUAUGAAGUAAAAAUAACAACAAAGACUCCCAGACUAUUUGCAGGACACUACAGCUGUGCCUCACAGACAGUACAGUCAUGGAAUACAAAGCCUUGGACCUAACAGGUAUAAAAUUUCUUCUUGUUUAUGCACUUAUUUCAUUCAAAAAUAAAUUUUCUGUAUUGGAUGCCCAUUUAUUAGUCUCUUAAGAGAAAAAUCAGCCUUCAUGGUAGAUGUCUUCUCCUAAAUUGCUUCA